ACCACUGCCCUGUUCAAAGGGUUAGUCCUGUUAUCACCUUGUUAAACCUGGGCUCGGUGUAGGGUAGACAAUGUCCAGCUGCAAGGCCUAUUUUGUUUUUAACGUCCU